UCUAUUGAGGAUUUGAUCCUGGUCCAGGAUGAAUGCUGGCGGCGUGGAUAGGGCAUGCAAGUCGAACGGAACAAUUUGCGAUUACAUCAAGAAUUGUUCAGUGGCGAACGAGUUCAGUAAUACCUUGGAAUCUACCCCGAAGACGGGAAUAACUCCGCGAAAGCGGAGCUAAUACCCGAUAGCCCCAGCAUCUUUUUAGAUUCUUGAAACAAAAAUCGGACACAAGGCCCGAUGAUUAAAAAUUAAGGGAUAUGCAGUUCGAAGCAACAGAUAAAAAAUAUCCAAGCAGCAAUGUUGC
rnacentral:rRNA from 1 species